UACGGGGGGAGCAAGCGUUGUUCGGAUUUACUGGGCGUAAAGGGCGCGUAGGCGGCCACCGCAAGUCAGUUGUGAAAUCUCUGGGCUUAACCCAGAAAGGUCAACUGAUACUGCGGGGCUAGAGUGCAGAAGGGGCAACUGGAAUUCUCGGUGUAGCGGUGAAAUGCGCAGAUAUCAGGAGGAACACCGGUGGCGAAGGCAGGUCUCUGGGCUGACACUGACGCUCAUGCACGAAAGCGUGGGGAGCAAACAGG
rnacentral:rRNA from 1 species